ensembl:snoRNA SNORD11B small nucleolar RNA, C/D box 11B
GGGUGGCAAGUGAUGAUUCCUCUAAUGAUGCUUUCCUGAUGUACGACCUAUGAGGGUUGCAUAGUCACUACCUCUUCUGAUGCCAUCA